AUGGCUGUCGUCAGCUCGUGUUGUGAGAUGUUGGGUUAAGUCCCGCAACGAGCGCAACCCCUAUCCUUAGUUGCUAGCAGGUAAUGCUGAGAACUCUAAGGAGACUGCCGGUGAUAAACCGGAGGAAGGUGGGGACGACGUCAAGUCAUCAUGGCCCUUACGUGUAGGGCUACACACGUGCUACAAUGGCGCAUACAGAGUGCUGCGAACUCGCGAGAGUAAGCGAAUCACUUAAAGUGCGUCGUAGUCCGGAUUGGAGUCUGCAACUCGACUCCAUGAAGUCGGAAUCGCUAGUAAUCGCGUAUCAGAAUGACGCGGUGAAUACGUUCCCGGGCCUUGUACACACCGCCCGUCACACCAUGGGAGUGGGUUGCUCCAGAAGUAGAUAGUCUAACCCUCGGGAGGACGUUUACCACGGAGUGAUUCAUGACUGGGGUGAAGUCGUAACAAGGUAGCCCUAGGGGAACCUGGGGCUGGAUCACCUCCUUAUACGAUUUAGAACUUAUUUGUUCGUAGUGUCCACACAGAUGAUUGUUAUUGUAAAGAGAACAACACUUAUUGUUUUGGGUCUGUAGCUCAGCUGGUUAGAGCGCACCCCUGAUAAGGGUGAGGUCGGUAGUUCAAAUCUACUCAGACCCACCACUUCUUGUCUAAUCAAGAAGAUGGUUAAAACAGUAAGUACCAGCAUAUGUGGGGCUAUAGCUCAGCUGGGAGAGCGCCUGCCUUGCACGCAGGAGGUCAGCAGUUCGAUCCUGCUUAGCUCCACCACUUUUACUUCUUAAAAAUAAAUAUUCUUUAUCGGGCCAUUAACCGCCUGAGAAUAGAGUGUGUUUAAUUUUGAGAGGUUUUUGUAUCUCUUGCUCUUUAAAAAUUUGGAAAAGCUGAUAAUAAAAUUCUGAUGAAUAACAUUGUUAUUUAUCAAGAGUUUUCAAAAGUAAAAAAAGAAUGGUAGCAGUACCAUUCAGUGCCAUUUGAUUGACGUUUUACGUUGAUUGAUUGGUAUCUACUUUAGUAUUCAAUAUUAACUUCUGGCGAAGUUAAACUGUCACAAAACAAAGACCCGUUUGGGUUGUAUGGUUAAGUGACUAAGCGUACACGGUGGAUGCCUUGGCAGUUGGAGGCGAUGAAGGACGUAUUAACUUGCGAUAAGCCUAGUCAAGCUAGUAAAAAGCGCUUGAGACUAGGAUUUCCGAAUGGGGAAACCCGG
rnacentral:sRNA from 1 species